rnacentral:rRNA from 1 species
AUACGUAGGGUGCGAGCGUUGUCCGGAAUUACUGGGCGUAAAGAGCUCGUAGGUGGUUUGUCGCGUCGUCUGUGAAAUUCCGGGGCUUAACUCCGGGCGUGCAGGCGAUACGGGCAUAACUUGAGUACUGUAGGGGAGACUGGAAUUCCUGGUGUAGCGGUGAAAUGCGCAGAUAUCAGGAGGAACACCGGUGGCGAAGGGGGGUCUCUGGGCAGUAACUGACGCUGAGGAGCGAAAGCAUGGGUAGCGAACAGGAUUAGAUACCCUGGUAGUCCAUGCCGUAAACGGUGGGCGCUAGGUGUAGGGGUCUUCCACGACUUCUGUGCCGUAGCUAACGCAUUAAGCGCCCCGCCUGGGGAGUACGGCCGCAAGGCUAAAACUCAAAUGAAUUGGCGGGG